UAAUAAAUACACCACAGCAAUAAAGAAACGGGUAACAACCCGGUAUGGCGCUUGAAUAAUUCGUAUGGUGUAUAAAUGAUAAAUAAUCUCAAAUACUGGUCAUGGAUGGGCGCAUUCUCAGUCUCAGUGAUGUUCUGGGGACAACUGGUCUGGAUGAUGGCUCACUAACCUCUCAAAAACCUCGCUUAAGCGGGGUUUUUUGUUUU
rnacentral:sRNA from 1 species